rnacentral:lncRNA from 1 species
UUAUUGAGGAAAAAUGAUGGGAAGAAGAAGAAGCUGCUGGAAGUGAGGAGAAAGUGCUGAAAAAAAUUAGAUAUAUUUUCUAUAGUUGACUACAGUUCCCAUUAUUUACGAAAAUGCCAUUGCAUAGUUGGAUCAUCAAAUUCCAAUUACAGUACUUAGCCCAUUUGUUGGAUCAUCAAAUUCAUUGUACUCCUUAAUAAUUUGUAUUUCAUUGUAAACCAUUGAAUAAAG